GAUGAACGCUGGCGGCGUGCCUAAUACAUGCAAGUCGAGCGAACAGAUGAGGAGCUUGCUCCUCUGACGUUAGCGGCGGACGGGUGAGUAACACGUGGAUAACCUACCUAUAAGACUGGGAUAACUUCGGGAAACCGGAGCUAAUACCGGAUAAUAUAUUGAACCGCAUGGUUCAAUAGUGAAAGACGGUUUUGCUGUCACUUCUAGAUGGAUCCGAGCCGCAUUAGCUAGUUGGUAAGGUAACGGCUUACCAAGGCAACGAUGCGUAGCCGAACUGCGAGGGUGAUCGGCCACACUGGAACUGAGACACGCUCCAGACGCCUACGGGAGGCAGCAGUAGGGAAUCUUCCGCAAUGGGCGAAAGCCUGACGGAGCAACGCCGCGUGAGUGAUGAAGGUCUUCGGAGCGUAAAACUCUGUUAUUAGGUAAGAACAAAUGUGUAAGUAACUAUGCACGUCUUGACGGUACCUAAUCAGAAAGCCACGGCUAACUACGUG
rnacentral:rRNA from 1 species